rnacentral:rRNA from 1 species
AUUGAACGCUGGCGGCAGGCCUAACACAUGCAAGUCGAACGAGUGGCGGACGGGUGAGUAAUGUAUGGGAAACUGCCUGAUGGAGGGGGAUAACUACUGGAAACGGUAGCUAAUACCGCAUACCAUCGGAUGUGCCGAGAUGGGAUUAGCUAGUAGGUGGGGUAAAGGCUACCCAAGGCGACGUUCCUUAGCGGGUUUGAGAGGAGGACCAGCCACCCUGGACUUGGGACCCGGUCCAGACCCCUACGGGAGGCAGCUGUGGGGAAUAUUGCACAAUGGGCGCAACCCUGAUGCAGCCCUCCCGCGUGGAUGAGGAAGGCCUUCGGGUGUUAAAGUCCUUUCAGCGGGGAGGCGUUACCCGCAGAAGAAGCCCCGGCUAACUCCGUGCCAGCCGCCGCGGUAAUAC